rnacentral:lncRNA from 1 species
GUGUCUGUGGAAGAACAGCUUAAGCCCAUUCCGUGGUUGUUCCCAUGCAUUCAGUGGCCUGAGCAGCGGGAACUGCACACCAGUCUCCAGUGGCGGCUGAGCACUCCAGUCUGCAGCAGGGAACUGCUGAAUAGGCACAGAGGACACCUGCAUGCCUUCAGACCAGUCUGCAACCUUGAGCUGAAAAGCAGUAAAUCUGGGAGCUGGAGCAGUCCAUUGACGCUGAAAUUCCUCCUUGGUGAAGGCCUUUGUCAGCAGUGGUCUGCUCUUCUAUUUCAAUCUCUUCAGGAUUCUGCAGAAGCAGAGAUCAGGCAAGACCUCCCAUGGGUCGCCAUCACAAAGGCUGGUGCCACACCCGUGCAGAACUUCCUGGGCCAGCAUCCACCACAUCAGAGCUAUUAGAUAGCAAACUGGAGAAUGACUCUAAUGGACCAUCUGGAAGGUGCUGCCUGUGGGCCAGUCAACUGCCGCCAAGGUAGUGGAUUGGGGUAAGAAGAUGCUCUAGGGCAGACAGUGGUGUCUGGGUGAUUUCCCAGGAGCAGGAAGGGGAUCUGGUCAGACACAUUCCAGGUCCAUCACAUUGAUGGUGGUAUGUAGAAAGUCAAAAGAAUUCUAAGGAAACUAAUAAUUUGAGGCUCACAUGGAGAAAAGAGGCUGAUGAGAUAAGGUGUCAGCUACUGUUCUGCUGGGUGAGGGGAAGCUUUGAACCCGGUUGCCUGGGCAACCGAGUCUCUGCCUCUGGAUGUAGCAGUGGUCAGUGAACCUGUGAGUGGGUGUCUUUGGCUUUCUAAGCCACAGAGAAUAGAAGCAUAUCCAAAUGUAUCAUUAGAACGAUACGGCCUGAAGUAAACAAGGAGAGCUGAGGUACAGAAGGAAAUGGGUUGAAGAACCUAGGAAAGAUAUAAGGACAGAAGCAUAGCUUAGAUAAAUACACAGAUUGGGCUGUCACCCACAAGAGUGUAGGUGCACAUUACUAGAAGAAUCUGGGAAGGGUGCGCUAGGUCCGAUAGUGAAACCUAAUGAUUUUAAGAAUAUCUUUAUCUCCUUAUUCUUAUUCUUUCAUGUGUAUUUCAUUUCUUUCCUUUUUUAUCUCUGCAGGUGGAAUGGAAAACACUUCUGCAUUCUGGGAGCAAGCGUUUCUAUUGUUACUGUCAAUUAAAGGAGAAGACCUGGUCUAGGUAACAGGUCCUGUUCUCACUUCAGAGAGUCUCCUGAGCGUUGGUUGCAGUGUUCCUCAUGUAAAGGUGCCCAUCCACUUUUCUGGAUGCAGUGGAGUGGCAGAGAAAGCACCAUGAGCAGCUCGGAGCACGGACGGGUCAUGGGUUUUCAAGGCAGAGUUAUCUUUUGUGCAGAAGCUGCUGAGCUCGUCUCUGUUGCUGACAGUUCACAGACUCUUCUUCACCCUUGCUCAGGAAGAAUUUCCUUUCCUUCUUGCCUCUGGCAGUGACCAGCCAUACUUCUUAGACAGCUCAGUUAAAUCCCCAGGAGAGAAAGAAUAAGAAUAGCUCUUAGCAAAUGUAUGGCAGGAGGAAAUUCUUUUGUAAGGCAUUUAAAUUAGGAAAUAUAUUGGCUUUAAACAAUGUUCAUCCCAUUUUGGGAACUUAGUAAAAUGUCUUCAAAUAUUUUAAAUUCAUUUGGUACACAAACUAUGUGACUUAACUAAAAGAAACCUUUCCGAGUAAUAUCUAAAAAUAUUAAAAAAUCUAGCAAAAUAUUUGAGAAACUUGAAUUCCCUUAAAUGUGCUCAAACUGUUCAUAAACUUAAUAAGAUUUCAUUGUGAAAUUACAAGUCUAAAUUAAUUACUCAAUUAUACAUUUUAAAUUAGAAUUACAAGGCUGAUCUGUUACUCUAAUUGACCAAAUUCUUAUGAACAUCAUAAGUACAUAAAAUAUUAAAAAUGCCCAGAUUCAUUAAAACAAAUAGUAAUACUGUGGUUUUUAUUACUUAGGCAUUUCUAUUUUUAAUUCUAAAUCUUUAGAGUUGAAAGAUGUUUAACCAUCAAGGAAAUAAUUAUGCCAUUUCAAGCAAUUUUGUAGCAUAUCUUCUUUGCUAGUUGAAAUUCCGUAAGAGUGGAGAACUUCAGCUGGAACAAUGAUUGGAUUCUUGUUGAGGACAUUGAUGGGACAGGUUUUUGAUCUAUUAUAUUAUGACCCUCCAUGUAGGGUGGUCUGAUGGCUCUCAUGGUCCAUAUUCCUGUGUUUAGGUUAUAUAAGGCCCAAUUCUUUCUUCUACUCACAGAAUAUGAGACCCCCAUUCAGCAGCUAUAUGAAUUUUUUAUUCUCUUAUGUCUCUCUGUUCUUUCAGGGGGUGCAGGCAGAGGGGUCUUGUUCCAUGUUGCUACAUAGCAAACUACUCCAAAACUUACUGGCUUAAAACUUUUUUUAAUUGCAUCUCACAGUUUUGCAGGUCAGGAAUUUGGGCAAGAAUCAGCUAGUCCAUUCCUCCAGCUAGUUCAUUCUCCAGUUCCACCAAGUGACUUCCAUUAACACCAUGUAGAAGAGAAGGAUCACCCAGCUGAACCCCAAAUGGUCACUCCUAUGGCUCAUACUUUGGGGGAAUGGCCAGAAGGCUGGGCUUAGCUGGGACUGUCAUCCAGAAUGCCUACAUAUGGUCUCUCUGGCAAUGUGACCUCAGGGUAGUCAGACUUCUUACAUGACCUCCCAGCACUAAGAGCAAGUGUUCCUGUAGCAAGGUGGAAGCUGUGUGGCCUUUUGUGAUCUAACCUCGGAAGUCACAUAGGGUUCACUGCCACUUGAUUGGUCAAAGAAUCACAAGCCCCGUCUAUAUUCAAGAGGAGGGGAUAAAGACCCCUCGUUUCAACGGCUGGAGUGUCAACGAAUAUGUGACCUUGUUUUAAAACUGCCAUAAAGCUCUUAAGAUAUUUAAAAAUCUUUUCCAUUUAACUCAAAAGUUCUUUGAAUUUGAUAUGCAUUCUUCUCAUAGACUCCCUGUAUUUUACAAACACCUAACUCUUAGAGAUAUUAAAACAACCUCUCAUUAAAUUCUAGGUAUAUUGCAUGACAUGGUCUGAUAAUCUGGUCAUGACUUUGAAAGGUUGUUCUACUUGAUAACAGACCUUGAAAGGUCAUUCUACUUGAUGAAAUCAUUUGUAAGAAAAUCUCUGUAUUUUAUUCACUGAGCCAUGGAUGCUAUCUCUUGAAAUGUACUCAGAAGGUGAAAAGUCCUGAUUUUACAUUAAUAAUUUCUUGAAUUUUCUUAAUUGAUAAACGAAAAGUGUUUUACGUUCUCAUAUACUCAAUUCAACAGAUAUAAAAUGAGUAUCUUCUUUAGUGAAGUGUGUAUUAAAGGAAAGUUUGAAUUGUAUCAGGUAUUGAUGGUUAGGAUGUCAUUCAAGUUGAAUGGGACAAGACGAGCAAUCAAGGAAGAAAUCACUCAACAUGCUUGAGGAUGAGUCUGCUAAGAAAAGAAGCAAGUCUGCAACUUCACUUGGUCAGGCUCAGGGUCCGAGCCCCUUUUGUGUAUUUCUACCUGGCUGGCUCCGAUAGGGAUCUUAAUCUUGACUCUACUUUUUGGGUGAUUUUGCCCAUUGCCUCUCUUUGAAACAAGAAUUGUUAGAUGUCGAAUAAAUGUUUGUUGACUAAAUAAAUGAAUGACCA